AUUGAACGCUGGCGGCAUGCUUUACACAUGCAAGUCGAACGGCAGCGCGGGCUUCGGCCUGGCGGCGAGUGGCGAACGGGUGAGUAAUACAUCGGAACGUGCCCAGUAGUGGGGGAUGGCUCGUCGAAAGCCGGAUUAAUACCGCAUCCGACCUGAGGGUGAAAGCGGGGGAUCUUCGGACCUCGCGCUCUUGGAGCGGCCGAUGGCAGAUUAGCUAGUUGGUGGGGUAAAGGCCUACCAAGGCGACGAUCUGUAGCUGGUCUGAGAGGACGACCAGCCACACUGGGACUGAGACACGGCCCAGACUCCUACGGGAGGCAGCAGUGGGGAAUUUUGGACAAUGGGCGAAAGCCUGAUCCAGCAAUGCCGCGUGUGUGAUGAAGGCCUUCGGGUUGUAAAGCACUUUUGGCGGGAACGAAAAGGACUGUGCCAAUACCACGGUUCGAUGACGGUACCCGCAGAAUAAGCACCGGCUAACUACGUG
rnacentral:rRNA from 1 species